rnacentral:rRNA from 1 species
CCUACGGGGUGCUGCAGUGGGGAAUAUUGGACAAUGGGCGAAAGCCUGAUCCAGCCAUGCCGCGUGUGUGAAGAAGGCCUUCGGGUUGUAAAGCACUUUCAGUGGGGAAGAAAGCCUUGGGGCUAAUACCCUCGAGGAAGGACAUCACCCACAGAAGAAGCACCGGCUAACUCCGUGCCAGCAGCCGCGGUAAUACGGAGGGUGCGAGCGUUAAUCGGAAUUACUGGGCGUAAAGCGCGCGUAGGCGGUCUGAUAAGCCGGUUGUGAAAGCCCCGGGCUCAACCUGGGAACGGCAUCCGGAACUGUCAGGCUAGAGUGCAGGAGAGGAAGGUAGAAUUCCCGGUGUAGCGGUGAAAUGCGUAGAGAUCGGGAGGAAUACCAGUGGCGAAGGCGGCGUUCUGGACUGACACUGACGCUGAGGUGCGAAAGCGUGGGUAGCAAACAGGAUUAGAUACCCGUGUAGUC